rnacentral:lncRNA from 1 species
UGCAAUUCCUUGGGAACUAGUUCUCCUGUUUGGUUACCUGGUGUGGUGUCAGCAUUGUGCUUUGAGGAGGCAAUGGCUCUGAAGCAGCACCACUCGAAAGAACCUCAUCUCUGCAGAAAUUUACGAUAUCAAAGCCAGUAAGAGCAGUUCUUCUGGAGAAACACACGUAAGCCACUCUAGUUUAACCCAGAUUGUCUGGCAUUGUAUUGAUUCAGCACAAAAAGAAAUGCACAACAGGAAUUGGGAAGAAAUAAAAACCAGGAAUAGGAGCA